UACAGGAGGGUGCGAGCCGUGUUCGGAAUUUGAUUGGGCGUAAAGGGCGCGUAGGCGGUGCGGUAAGUCACCUGUGAAAUCUCCUGGAGCUUAACUGGGAGCCUGCAGGCGAAACUACCGUGCGUGGAGGUGUGGGAGAGGUGGCGUGGAAUUCCCGGUGUAGCGGUGAAAUGCGUAGAUAUCAGGAGGAACACCGUGCGGUGAGUGAGACGGCUUACUGGACCAUAACUGCGCUGAGGCACGAAAGCGUGGGUAGCAAACAGG
rnacentral:rRNA from 1 species